GGGGAAUAUUGCACAAUGGGCGCAAGCCUGAUGCAGCCAUGCCGCGUGUAUGAAGAAGGCCUUCGGGUUGUAAAGUACUUUCAGCGAGGAGGAAGGUGUUGAGGUUAAUAACCUCAGCAAUUGACGUUACUCGCAGAAGAAGCACCGGCUAACUCCGUGCCAGCAGCCGCGGUAAUACGGAGGGUGCAAGCGUUAAUCGGAAUUACUGGGCGUAAAGCGCACGCAGGCGGUUUGUUAAGUCAGAUGUGAAAUCCCCGGGCUCAACCUGGGAACUGCAUUUGAAACUGGCAAGCUUGAGUCUCGUAGAGGGGGGUAGAAUUCCAGGUGUAGCGGUGAAAUGCGUAGAGAUCUGGAGGAAUACCGGUGGCGAAGGCGGCCCCCUGGACGAAGACUGACGCUCAGGUGCGAAAGCGUGGGGAGCAAAC
rnacentral:rRNA from 1 species